AAGUUGUAAACGCACAGCACGUGAUUAGCGUCUAAGUGGUAAGCUAGCAGUCACACGGAUUCCCGAGACUUUUUACGACCUCUUUUCAGGUCUCGUCCAAAUAGGCGAGUAAAGAUUUCGGCUGCUGCUCUUGUGUGGAAAAAGUAGAAGAGAAGCUUCCAAGUUGUCAGCAGAUGACGCCAGACCUCCUGAGCUCAGCCAUUGGACAGCUCACAGACACGUGACCGGGGCAGCUUCCUGGUUGGACCAGGAUGAAGCAUCUGGAUGCCCGCUGGAGCCUCCACAACAUUCCACUAGAUGAAUCCACAGACGAGCACGUUGGAGCAUUCUGACAGACGCUGGAUAUAGAAGCAGAUGCCGUGUCAGGAAGCGGAGAACGUCGUAGAGCUGGAGAAGGAAUUCCACUUGUGACACGCUAACAUGUCGGAAAUGGCACAGAUCACCAGUUUUGGUUCUAGAAACCCAGGAUGAGGCAGCACAGCAGCAAGAAUACCGCCCAGUGGUUUUUAUGUAACUCCAUAGAUAUCUCCAAGUUGUCCCGUUUUCCCAUACAUAGCGUGGAUUAUUUCCAACUGUCUCAUAGCGAGGCCUUCACUGAUCAGACCUUGCCCUCACCGACCAUGGCCCAUUGCAUUUCAGCACCAGCGUCAAUAAUCAACAACAUUUGCCCCGUUGGCCCAUUAGCGGCCAUCUUAAUCUGAAUGAUACAUUUACUUUCACUCAUUAGCUUCAAUCUCGUAGCACACCACUGGGAUACUUUAAUGAAACUACCGUUUAUGAACAUUACCGCAAAUCUGCUGCCUCUCUUUUUGAGCACAGCGUGCAGAAACCGUCUAAAAUAUUAUGUGGAGUAUUGUUGCAUGCUUGAAACAUAGGAUAGUUUCUCUAUACGCCUCUUUUCUGUAUGAUGUGCUCUAGAUCGUAACAUGAUUGAAUAAUGCUCACAUUGAAUGAAACAAUUCUUUGAUAUUGUUGUUGCUUGUCAUUUUCCGUACACGCUUAAUAAAGGCAAAAUAAUGAUAAUAA